UAAAUCCAUACCAGUAGGACA
rnacentral:piRNA from 1 species